UAUAAUUUAGCUCAGUGGUAGAGCACUUGCCUAGUGUGUAUGAGGCCCUGGGUUCAAUCCUCAGUAUGGAAA
rnacentral:tRNA from 1 species